UACGGAGGGUGCAAGCGUUGCUCGGAAUUACUGGGCGUAAAGCGCGUGUAGGCGGUUUCGUGUGUCUGAUGUGAAAUCCCCGGGCUCAACCCGGGAGGUGCAUUGGAAACUGCGAGACUAGAGUCCCGGAGAGGAAGGUGGAAUUCCAGGUGUAGCGGUGAAAUGCGUAGAUAUCUGGAAGAACACCGGUGGCGAAGGCGGCCUUCUGGACGGUGACUGACGCUGAGACGCGAAAGCGUGGGGAGCAAACAGG
rnacentral:rRNA from 1 species